rnacentral:rRNA from 1 species
CCUACGGGUGGCAGCAGUGAGGAAUAUUGGUCAAUGGGCGCGAGCCUGAACCAGCCAAGUAGCGUGAAGGAUGACUGCCCUACGGGUUGUAAACUUCUUUUAUAAAGGAAUAAAGUGAGGCACGUGUGCCUUUUUGUAUGUACUUUAUGAAUAAGGAUCGGCUAACUCCGUGCCAGCAGCCGCGGUAAUACGGAGGAUCCGAGCGUUAUCCGGAUUUAGUGGGGGUAAAGGGAGCGUAGAUGGGUGGUUAAGUCAGUUGUCAAAUGGAGGGGCGCAACCCGUUCCCGCCAUUGAAACUGGCGCUCUUGAGUGGAAGAGAGGUAUGCGGAAUGCGUGGUGUAGCGGUGAAAUGCAUAGAUAUCACGCAGAACCCCGAUUGCGAAGGCAGCAUGCCGGCUUCCGACUGACGCUGAAGCACGAAAGCGUGGGGAUCGAACAGGAUUAGAUACCCGAGUAGUC